rnacentral:lncRNA from 1 species
GCUCCAGGUGUAGAAGGAGCUUUAGCCUCAUUCUCACACAGCCUAGACUCUACUUUUAGGCUUCCAAUUUUAGCUGGGGAAAAUCCAACAGUACUUCUGAGUGUGGCUGUGGAGAAUCACAGCCAAGCUCUGUGUGAAUCAGUCUGCGUGGCUGUGAAGGAAUUGCGGACUGAAUGGAAUUUUUCAACUAAAUAUUUUCUUUGCAAUUUCUCCAUUGAACUUAUCAUAAGAAUAUAUAUAUUUUUUGAUCUACAUAAGGAUUUUCUUCAAAAUAUCCAAGGAAGCAUCUUUUCAGCCCGUCUCUACGAUAAAUGGCUUGAUGUUAUUGAUCAAGGGAAUGAGGAGGAGAAAAUAACUGCGACCCAGAGGCUUGUAGACCAGCUACCGAAAGCCAAUGUAGUGUUGUUGCGAUACCUUUUUGGAGUGUUACACAACAUUGAGCAACAUUCUUCAUCCAAUCAGAUGACACCUUAUAAUUUAUCCGUGUGUCUCGCCCCAAGCAUCCUUUGUCUGCUUAAUUCUGGAAGCUCAGCAUUUGAAAAAGUCACCAAAAAGGUAACAAGAUCUCUCAUUUAUGCCUUGUGGUGUCUCAAGAUAUUUGGAGAAGAUAUCACUUCUCUCUUUGGAGAGAACUCAGUGAGUUGUGAUAACAGUGAUAUCACUGAUAACAGUGAGAUUUCAGGGACAACAGAACAAUCUCUUGAAUCCAAGCCAGUGAGGGUGACAAUGAUUUACGAGGUACAACUGCAAUAUGAUGCUAUGACCUCAUCAAGGAUGGGUCCACCCACUGACCUGUCUACAGUAUUCUAAAUCCCUGAAGAUUACAGUCCCCAUAAUCACACUUUACCCUUCCUUUUUCUUUAUCCUAUAGUAUCUCACUUCAAGAACACUUAGUUAUAAAACAUUUGCACGAUUUUGUUGAGUUUGAAUUAAAUGCUCAGAUAUAUCCAGAAAUACAUGAAUUUCCUGGCACAAGAAUGAACAUGAGGCACUUAUUCCAAGAAAACCACUUGGAUCAUUCAGUGAAAAAGAAGACCUUUCAAGGUCCCAGCUUAUACCAUUUCAGUUUUUCUUGACCCUGUAUAUCCAUAUUUGAGAAAAUAUUCCCCCAGAGUAUCUCUUCUUUCAUUCCUACCAUAUUAUAUUAUUUUUUGUACGGUAUUAUACAUUUUUAUAUUGAUGCAAUAAAAAUAGGUUAGAAAACCA